UAAGCACUCCCUCCGUCUCGAAUUAUGUGUCAUGGAAAUGAAUGUAUCUACACAUAUUUUAGCUUUAAAUACAUCCAUCUCUAUUCAUUUUUGCGACAAGUUAUUUCAGACGGAUGGAGUAAUAU
rnacentral:pre_miRNA from 1 species